AACGAACGCUGGCGGCAUGCCUAACUCAUGCAAGUCGAACGAGACCUUCGGGUCUAGUGGCGCACGGGUGAGUAACGCGUGGGAACCUGCCCUUAGGUUCGGAAUAACUCCCCGAAAGGGGUGCUAAUACCGGAUAAUGUCUUCGGACCAAAGAUUUAUCGCCUUUGGAUGGGCCCGCGUUGGAUUAGCUAGUUGGUAGGGUAAAAGCCUACCAAGGCGACGAUCCAUAGCUGGUCUGAGAGGAUGAUCAGCCACACUGGGACUGAGACACGGCCCAGACUCCUAAGGGAGGCAGCAGUGGGGAAUAUUGGACAAUGGGCGAAAGCCUGAUCCAGCAAUGCCGCGUGAGUGAUGAAGGCCUUAGGGUUGUAAAGCUCUUUUACCCGGGAUGAUAAUGACAGUACCGUGAGAAUAAGCUCGGGCUAACUCCGUG
rnacentral:rRNA from 1 species